GAAAAUGUCCUACAAUGUGCAUUUUAUUCCAUACCAUUAUACAAUGUUUACAUAUAGUUAUAACUCUUAAGAAAAUGAUUUUUCUUUACCAAUUGUACGUAGUGCCUAAAUCUUUCACUUGAACAUGGAGAAAUGGAGAGUGGAAGUCCACAUUGAAUGCUAUCCUACAAGUUGUAAUGAGCCGCAGGUGUGCCAAUGAGAAGGCCCUAGAAGUCUUAAAAGAGCAGCGUGCCUUACAAACCCUUGGCCGUUAGUGAAUUCAGGCAUACCGGAUCCGCAGUCUCAUCUCAUAAUAAAACUCAAGACAAAAUAAAUUAGUGUCGGACAGGAUUCUAAAUUGUACAAUAUUGAACGAAAGACCACAGUGGGACCUUUUGUUUAAAGUAGCACCAAUCCACACCUGAUUGCGUUUUCAACAUUAACCUUUCUGUUGAUACAUCGUUGGCACUUUGAGUGGAAAUCUUUCUGCUUUAGUGAGGAUUCCUAGACUGGCUGAGUAUACUGUGUUGCAAAACUCUCUACUAAGUGUGGCAACGUCAACCCGGGAAAUGGCACAUUUAAGUCAUUACGGCCCUGCCAUGGGCUCGCCUUGUCUGUGUGUAUGUGUGUGUGUUUUCCCCACCCCCUGACCUAGCUGGUAUCUUGUGGAUGUUUCUGUGACAGUGUAAAAGUAAAUAAAAAUGCGUUUAAGGGGUUUCAUGGUAAGCGUGGUGUUUCAAAACAAAACAAAACAAAACAAAACAAAACAACAACAAAACGACAUGAAAGAGUGUGGUCGCAGCUAAGGAGGGUUCACAUGUUGUUUAACUCCAGUAAAGUCUGAUCCAGCAUCUGGUGCAUACUAAGGUUUUCUUCUUUGGCAUGAGCCACUUUCUCUGUGAUGGGAUUAGAAAAUUAAGUCAUGAAUAGCUGCACUUUGGACACAGAGGCGGUUUGUACAUUUAGGCAGGCAAACAUCAGUCACAAACAAAGAUGAGAUGAUUAGGACAAGGCAUGCUUGUAAGAUACUGCUCAUUUCCAGACAAGGACCUACAAAGGGAGAAGACAUCUCUGACCCAAAGGGGCUAGAGGCACAGCAGGUUCUCACAGAGCAGUCAGGGGAACCUCCACCAACAGGCCACUCUGAACAGAGCACGGGUGGGGCUUGGUGAAGGUCCCCCGGCCGUAUGCCACAGGGACAGCGACGGUGCUUGCAGCACUCAAGUUACUUAUGGCAGACAUUUCUGAGUUACAGGCAGUUAAAGAUCUGGGAGCUGUGUUUAACACAGAAGACAGAGAUGAUAUAAGUAGAUAUUCUGACAACUUUUAAAAUGAUUUAUUUCUGUUGCUCAUUAAAAAAAAAUAUCCAAGUUUCAUGCACACUUCAGUAGGACAUUCUCUUACUAUUCUUAUAUUUAUUAUUAACAUGACAUUCUCACCAGAUUCCAACAACACCAUUAGACGGAAUAAAAGCAUACCUUUUAGACAAUCAGGGACUUCUGACAUGAGCUCCUGUUUUCAAAAGCUAUUUUGCCCAAGCAUAGGUACAUUUAAUCAAACGCUAUACCAGAUAUUAAGAAGUUAGGAAUAUGAAUAUGUAAUAGCAAUAUAUAUAUAUUAUAUAUUGCAUCAUAUAUAAUAUGUAUACGUAUAUAGUUACACACUCCUUGGCUUUGGCUUUCUAACUUAGGCAGAACUCAUUCUCUGUGGGAAACAGAAAACAAUUUUUGGUCCCCAUUCUGUAUCCGUUCAAACAAGAAGAACUGCGAUUGCUGGAUUGUUAUAAAUAUUUGAUCCAUAUACAUACACAUAAAUUUACCAUAAAAGCAGUUUUGGGUCUAAAGAGAACUUAAUUAUUCCAGAUUAUAAGAGGAAGAAAGACGCAGAUGAAGCCAGCCUUUCUGCUAACUCCCUCCAUGUACGAUUCUGCAGAGAGCAAGUGCUGUCGGCCCUAUU
rnacentral:lncRNA from 1 species